rnacentral:tRNA from 1 species
UAGUGUGAUGGAUCAGCACGGCAGACCGGAUAUCUGUAAGUGCGGGUUCGAGUCCCGC